AAAUUGAAGAGUUUGAUCAUGGCUCAGAUUGAACGCUGGCGGCAGGCCUAACACAUGCAAGUCGAACGGUAACAGGAAGCAGCUUGCUGCUUCGCUGACGAGUGGCGGACGGGUGAGUAAUGUCUGGGAAACUGCCUGAUGGAGGGGGAUAACUACUGGAAACGGUGGCUAAUACCGCAUAACGUCGCAAGACCAAAGAGGGGGACCUUCGGGCCUCUUGCCAUCAGAUGUGCCCAGAUGGGAUUAGCUGGUUGGUG
rnacentral:rRNA from 2 species